ACUUGAAUGAUUUAAUUAAUUGGGAUUUUAAUGUUAUAAUGAUUAAAUUAGUAUUUUAUUUAAUUAGAUUAUAGGAACUCGGCAAAUUUAGUGUUCGCCUGUUUAACAAAAACAUGUCCUUUUGUUUAUUUAUUUAAGGUCUGACCUGCCCAAUGAGGAAUUCAAUGGCCGCAGUAUUUUAACUGUGCUAAGGUAGCAUAAUCAUUUGUCUUUUAAUUGAGGGCUGGAAUGAAAGGUUGGACGAGAUAUUAACUUUCUUUAGUUUAAUUUUAAGAAUUUAAUUUUUGAGUUAAAAAGCUUAAAUUUAUUUGUUGGACGAGAAGACCCUAUAGAUCUUUAUAAUUUUAUAUUUUGAUAAUUUGGUGAUUUUAUUUAUUGUAAGUAGAAGAAUUAUUUUGUUGGGGUGACUGUAGAAUUUUAUUAACUUCUAUUAUUUUUAUUUCAUUGAUUGGUGUUUUUUUGAUCCAUAUAUUUAUGAUUAAAAGAUUAAGUUACCUUA
rnacentral:rRNA from 1 species